GUGAAUCAUCGAGUCUUUGAACGCAACUUGCGCCAUCCAGAGAUGGAUGGCAUGUCUGUUUGAGUACGACCAACGAAAUGCGCUUCGGUAGUGACUGUGGUGCCCACGAGUGAUGUGGGUUGAAAAUGAGCCAGUCAGGCUGGACGGUCUGGCAGUGUGCUAGGGACGAGGUGUGGAGUGGGAGUGGUGUUGUGUGCGUAGAGUGUGGAUGUGCGAUGCAUAUCUGCGCUGCACACAAUGCCACGCUCGCAUGCUCACUGUCUUGUCGCUGCUGGCGCCAACCAGCCAUCAACCUCUUAAAACGUCUCAAAUCAGGCAAGAAGACCCGCUGAACUUAAGCAUAUCAAUAAGCGAGG
rnacentral:rRNA from 1 species